rnacentral:rRNA from 1 species
UACGUAGGGUGCAGGCGUUAAUCGGAAUUACUGGGCGUAAAGCGUGCGCAGGCGGUCUGCUAAGAGAGGUGUGAAAGCCCCGGGCUUAACCUGGGAAUUGCGAUGGAGACUGCAAGGCUUGAAUCUGGCAGAGGGGGGUAGAAUUCCACGUGUAGCAGUGAAAUGCGUAGAGAUGUGGAGGAACACCGAUGGCGAAGGCAGCCCCCUGGGUCAAGAUUGACGCUCAUGCACGAAAGCGUGGGGAGCAAACAGG